CUACGGGUGGCAGCAGUUAGGAAUAAUUUGCAAUGCGCGCAAGCGUGACAAUUUGAACCAGAGUGCGUUUCUAUUGAAACGCUUUUGCUGAAUGUAAAAAGUUCGGCGAAUAAGGACUGGGUAAGACGAGUGCCAGCCGCCGCGGUAAUACUCGCGGUCCAAGUCGCAGCCAUUUUUAUUGGUUCUAAAACAUCCGUAGCUUGCUUAUUAAGUUUCCUGUGAAAUCCGGCUUCUUAAGAGUCGGGCGCGCGGGAAGUACUGGUAAGCUAGAGACUGGAAGACGUAGGAAGUAUGUUCAAAGUAGUGGUAAAAUACUUUAAUCUUGGACAGACUACCAAUAGCGAAGGCAUCCUACGAGAACAGUUCUGACAGUAAGGGAUGAAGGCCAGGGUCGCGAAAGGGAUUAGAUACCCCGGUAGUC
rnacentral:rRNA from 1 species